rnacentral:rRNA from 1 species
UACGUAGGUGACAAGCGUUGUCCGGAUUUACUGGGCGUAAAGAGCGCGCAGGCGGUCGUUUAAGUCGAGUGUGAAAGCCCCCGGCUCAACUGGGGAGGGUCACGCGAUACUGAUCGACUGGAAGGCAGGAGAGGGUAGUGGAAUUCCCGGUGUAGUGGUGAAAUGCGUAGAUAUCGGGAGGAACACCAGUGGCGAAGGCGACUACCUGGCCUGUUCUUGACGCUGAGGCGCGAAAGCUAGGGGAGCAAACGGG